rnacentral:lncRNA from 1 species
UCUGCUUUAUUGAUUCUAAGUGUGCUCCUUUCUCAUAUGAGCGGGCUUUUGACUUCAAUACUUCAAUUGUAUUCCCUUAUUCUCCAGGUGGGUGCCUGAUUUCUAUUUCGUUUAUCCUUGUUCUCCAGGUGGACGCCUGAUUUCUUCCUUCCUUUGUCCUUAUUCUCCAGGUGGACGCCUGAUUACUUCUUUUCUUUGUCCUUGUUCUCCAGGUGAACGCCUGAUUUCUAUUUUUCUUUGUCCUUGUUCUCCAGGUGGACACCUGAUUUCUAUUUUUCUUUGUCUUUGUUCUCCAAAUGGACACCUGAUUUCUUCUUUUCUUUGUCCUUGUUCUCCAGGUGGACGCCUGAUUUCUUCCUUCC